CCUACGGGAGGCAGCAGUGGGGAAUUUUGGACAAUGGGCGCAAGCCUGAUCCAGCAAUGCCGCGUGGAGGAAGAAGGCCUUCGGGUUGUAAACUGCUUUUGUACCGGAAGAAAAGAAUGGUGUUAAUACAGUGGGCUGAUGACGGUACCGUAAGAAUAAGCCCCG
rnacentral:rRNA from 1 species